rnacentral:rRNA from 1 species
ACGACUCGGCAACGGAUAUCUUGGCUCUUGCAACGAUGAAGAACGCAGCGAAAUGUGAUACGUGAUGUGAAUUGCAGAAUUCCGUGAAUCAUCAAAUGUUUGAACGCAACUUGCGCCCGAGGCUUGUCCGAGGGCAUGCCUGCUUGAGCGUCUGCU